UGCAAAUCAAUAUAAAUUGAUUUUUUUUUAUUAUUUAUUUAUUAUUUAUUUUAUUUGUUUAUUUAUUUAAAUUUUUAAAUAUUUUUAUUAUAAAUUUAUUAAAAAUAAUUAUAUAAAUGAAUGUUUUAGUAGUUUUAAUGAAAAAAUAAAUUUUAUAAUAGUUAAUUUGUAUUGUGAAAGAUAAUUGAAAUAGAUUGAAAAAUUUAUAUUUAAAAAGAAAAAUUUAUUUUUUGUACCUUGUGUAUCAGGGUCUAUUAAAAAAUUAAUAAUUAUUUAUUAAUCUCGAUUUUAUAAGAGUUAAUAAUUUAUGAAAGUUAAUGUAUUAUAAUUAUUUUUAAUAAAUUAUUAGAAAUGAAAUGUUAUUCGUUUAUAAAGAUAUCUAGUUUUUUUAGAAAUAAAUUUAAUUUAUAAAUUUUUAAUUUUUUAUUUUAUUUUGUAUAAUUUAAAAAAUUAUUAAUUUAAAUAUUUUAAGGGAUAAGCUUUAAAAUAAAUUAUUAUAAAUUUAAUAAAUUAUUAUUUAAAAUAUAUGCAUAGAAUUAGCAAUUAUUAUUAAUAUUGUUAUAAAUUAUUUUAUUUUUAAUAUUAUUUAUUUAUUUUUAAUUAUAUAUAAAAAUUUUUAUUUUAAUUUAUUUUAUAAAUAAAUAAUGAUAAAAUUAGUAUAUAAUAAUUAUGUAAAUAUAAUUUUUUAUGACAAGUUUAUAUAAAGAACUCGGCAAAUAUUUAUACUCGCCUGUUUAACAAAAACAUGUCUUUUUGAGUUAAUUUUAAAGUCUAACCUGCCCAAUGAAAUAUAUUUUUAAUGGCNGCAGUAUUUUAACUGUGCAAAGGUAGCAUAAUCAUUAGUCUUUUAAUUAAAGGCUUGUAUGAAUGGUUGGACGAAGUAUAAACUGUUUCAUAUAAAUUUAUUGUAGAAUUUUAUAUUUUAGUAAAAAAGCUAAAAUAUAAUUAAAAGACGAGAAGACCCUAUAAAUCUUUAUAUUUUAAUUUAUUUAAAUUUUUUAAUUUUUUUAUAUUUAUAAUAAAUUAAUAUAUUUUAUUGGGGUGAUAUUAAAAUUUAUUUAACUUUUAAUUUAGUAAACCAUUGAUUUAUGAUUUAUUGAUCCAUUAAUAAUGAUUAUAAGAAUAAGUUACUUUAGGGAUAACAGCGUAAUUUUUUUGGAGAGUUCUUAUUGAUAAAAAAGUUUGCGACCUCGAUGUUGGAUUAAGAGAUAUAUUUAGGUGCAGUUGCUUAAAUGUUAAGUCUGUUCGACUUU
rnacentral:rRNA from 1 species